GCCGUGGUCUCCCACCCGCCGCUGCUCUAAGUCACACACAGUGGCCCGCUGCGCCCUCCAGGGAACUGCACCACAGUGUUUUGCCAUAACAUUUGGUGCAGGCGGAGCGCUUAAGGAUGCAUGGAACCCUGGGCUUGGAAACCGGGUGUUGUAUCUGCCUGAACUCCGACCUCUAUGCACACCAGUGACCUCAGAGAGACAGGUUGGCUCCUAGCAGCAGCACGCUACUUCCUCCAAAGAAGACAGAAGACAGACACAGAACAACAUCCAUCCGCAGUUCCCUUCACCUGCCAAACGCUGACCACUGGGAAAAACUGCCUUUCAUCUAAACUGAAGAUCUCCAGACAGUGGACAGAAUCACUGGAAUCGACAGCCUAGCUGCUCGGGUCAAGGGGACAAGUUGGACUUCAGCUGUUUCAGGGACUCUUAAGACUUGUCUCUGUGGUGAAGCCUCUGCCUGGUCAUCUGCACAGGAGAGCGAUUACUUCCCCUGGAGACGUUGCCAACAGGAGACAGGAAGGCAGCUCAGGAGCCUGGGCUUCUCCCCCUUUCUUACUGUGCUAAUACUUCCAAUCACACUGUUUUUU